rnacentral:rRNA from 1 species
UGGGGAAUAUUGCACAAUGGGCGAAAGCCUGAUGCAGCAACGCCGCGUGAGUGAUGAAGGUCUUCGGAUUGUAAAGCUCUGUCUUUUGGGACGAUAAUGACGGUACCAAAGGAGGAAGCCACGGCUAACUACGUGCCAGCAGCCGCGGUAAUACGUAGGUGGCGAGCGUUGUCCGGAUUUACUGGGCGUAAAGGGUGCGUAGGCGGAUGUUUAAGUGAGAUGUGAAAUACCCGGGCUUAACUUGGGUGCUGCAUUUCAAACUGGAUAUCUAGAGUGCAGGAGAGGAGAAUGGAAUUCCUAGUGUAGCGGUGAAAUGCGUAGAGAUUAGGAAGAACACCAGUGGCGAAGGCGAUUCUCUGGACUGUAACUGACGCUGAGGCACGAAAGCGUAGGUAGCAAACAGGAUUAGAUACCCUGGUAGUCCACGCCGUAAACGAUGAGUACUAGGUGUAGGAGGUAUCGACCCCUUCUGUGCCGCAGUAAACACAUUAAGUACUCCGCCUGGGGAAGU